AGUGAACGCUGGCGGUAGGCCUAACACAUGCAAGUCGAACGGCAGCACAGUAAGAGCUUGCUCUUACGGGUGGCGAGUGGCGGACGGGUGAGGAAUACAUCGGAAUCUACUUUUUCGUGGGGGAUAACGUAGGGAAACUUACGCUAAUACCGCAUACGACCUACGGGUGAAAGCAGGGGAUCUUCGGACCUUGCGCGAUUGAAUGAGCCGAUGUCGGAUUAGCUAGUUGGCGGGGUAAAGGCCCACCAAGGCGACGAUCCGUAGCUGGUCUGAGAGGAUGAUCAGCCACCCUGGAACUGAGACACGGUCCAGACUCCUACGGGAGGCAGCAGUGGGGAAUGUUGGACAAUGGGCGCAAGCCUGAUCCAGCCAUACCGCGUGGGUGAAGAAGGCCUUCGGGUUGUAAAGCCCUUUUGUUGGGAAAGAAAAGCAGCAGGUUAAUACCCCGCUGUUCUGACGGUACCCAAAGAAUAAGCACCGGCUAACUUCGUG
rnacentral:rRNA from 1 species